AUGCCUGGGGCGCUGCUACGCCAGGCGCCGGAUCCCUCGGCCACCGCUGCGCCAGGGGACGGAUCCGUGCUCUCUCCCCCGCCGCUGCCAAACUCCUCCCACCGGCCGCGACUACAUGCGCGGGCGUCAGGGAGGUUCAUACCACGGACAUGGCUCCCGUGCAGUGCGCCUCUGCUCUUCAAAGUUGUGGAGACGCGCAUGAGAGCUCUGUCUCCCUUUUGCAGUGCACACAGCUCCUUUAUCCUCCCCCUCUCCCCUUCCCCAACGUCCCACCGGCGACACCCGUCGAGAGAAGACGACCAGCAAAAACAAUGGAGUUGGCUGUGA
rnacentral:rRNA from 1 species